AAAAACAAUCAAUGUUCUGCCACGGAAAAAGAAGAUGCUAAGGAAAAACACCAGAGUCCUGAGACAGAAGCUACUUCCGCUCACCGAGCCCGGAAAAACCAGGGGGGAGGGAGAAGAUGAUUAAGGUAGACGAGGUCGGUCCGCCAGUGUCCCACAAUCCUCUUCUCUCGCUUUCUCUUUCCCCGCUCAAGAUGGCGCUGCUCGCGAUACAUUCUUGGCGUUGGGAAGCCGCGGCGGCUGCUUUCGAAAAGCGCCGGCGCUCGGCGAUUCUGCUCGGGCCUCUAGUCUCUGUCCGUGGCUUAGGUCCGCAGUGGAGGUCACAUCAGCUCGGUGCUUUGGGAACCGCUCGAAUCUACCAGCAGAUCCCAGCAGAU